CCCGGCACAAGCGGUGGAGCACGUGGUUAAUUCGAUGCAAACCGAAGAACCUUACCUGGGUUUGACAUGUGCGUGUUACUGAGGUGAAAGCCGAGGGACCAUAUCUUCGGAUGUGGAGCGUACACAGGUGCUGCAUGGCUGUCGUCAGCUCGUGUCGUGAGAUGUUCGGUUAAGUCCGCUAACGAGCGCAACCCUCGCUGUGUGUUACAAGUGUCACACGGUACUGCCGAUAUUAAGUCGGAGGAAGGUGGGGAUGACGUCAAGUCAGCAUGACCUUUAUAUCCAGGGCUACACACACGCUACAAUGGCCAGUACAAUGGGUUGCCAAGCCGCGAGGCGGAGCCAAUCCUAAAAAGCUGGCCUCAGUUCAGAUUGCAGUCUGCAACUCGACUGCAUGAAGUUGGAGUUGCUAGUAACCGCAGGUCAGCAAUACUGCGGUGAAUACGUUCCCGGGUCUU
rnacentral:rRNA from 1 species